rnacentral:rRNA from 1 species
CAAGUCGAGCGAGUCUGCCUUGAAGAUCGGAGUGCUUGCACUCUGUGAAACAAGAUACAGGCUAGCGGCGGACGGGUGAGUAACACGUGGGUAACCUGCCCAAGAGAUCGGGAUAACACCUGGAAACAGAUGCUAAUACCGGAUAACAACAGAUGAUGCCUAUCAACUGUUUAAAAGAUGGUUCUGCUAUCACUCUUGGAUGGACCUGCGGUGCAUUAGCUAGUUGGUAGGGUAACGGCCUACCAAGGCGAUGAUGCAUAGCCGAGUUGAGAGACUGAUCGGCCACAUUGGGACUGAGACACGGCCCAAACUCCUACGGGAGGCAGCGGUAGGGAAUCUUCCACAAUGGACGCAAGUCUGAUGGAGCAACGCCGCGUGAGUGAAGAAGGGUUUCGGCUCGUAAAGCUCUGUUGUUGGUGAAGAAGGACAGGGGUAGUAACUGACCUUUGUUUGACGGUAAUCAAUUAGAAAGUCACGGCUAACUACGUGCCAGCCGCCGCG